rnacentral:rRNA from 1 species
GAGACUCUGUGCGCGUGCAUAUCAAUAAGCGGAGGAAAAGAAACUAACAAGGAUUCCCCUAGUAACGGCGAGUGAAGCGGGAAGAGCUCAAAUUUGAAAUCUUAAAGGGUUUCCCUUUACGAAUUGUAGUUUAAAGAAGUGUUUUCUGUUGGAGUUUUGGUAAAAGUUCUUUGGAAUAGGACAUCAUAGAGGGUGAGAAUCCCGUAUUUGACCAUUAUUUCCAACUUUGUGAUACACUUUCAAAGAGUCGGAUUGUUUGGGAAUGCAGUCCAAAAUGGGUGGUAAAUUUCAUCUAAAGCUAAAUAUUGGCGAGAGACCGAUAGCGAACAAGUACCGUGAGGGAAAGAUGAAAAGAACUUUGAAAAGAGAGUUAAACAGUACGUGAAAUUGUCAAAAGGGAAGCGUUUGACACCAGUGUUGUUUUCUCGAAAAUCAAUUAAAAAUGGCGGGAUUUUGUGUUGUAUUGACCUUAACAGCUUUCUUCACUCUUUUCCUGCUUUUUUUAAUGCACUUUUCGUUUAACAAGUCAACAUCAAUUUCUUUUGUUGUAAAAGGGUCAUUGGAAGGUGGCUUUCUUUUCGGAGAAAGUGUUUAUAGCCUUUGGCCUCUGCAAUCGGAGAGAUUGAGGUCUGCAGCGUAGAUCCUUCGGGGUUAGAUACAUUUGUGCUAAGCUAUAGCCUUUCAUAGACAACUUGUUGACUAUGAUCAGUCAUGUAGCUUACUCGCUUAUGCUAUUUUACCUACGCUUAGGAUGUUGAUCUGUAGUGCGUGCGC